AUACAUAUAAACUGCCAUGUUUGUUUCGUUGAUAAAGAUCAUGGACAAUACUGUUGAAGACAAAUAAGAAUACCGUCUUUGUUGUGCGUAUGAACUUUUCAAGUAUUGAUUUUCUUCGCAUCAUUUGAAUUCAAUGGAUUCGUUCAGUUUCACAAAAUUAUAAUUUUAAUAAUAACAAGGAGUUGUCGAUUUAAAAAGAAUUCGACUUUUAAAAUGGCGACAAGAUUUAUAAUUGUUUACAAUUGAAUAGAAUAGUUCACCUGACAUGACGAAAAACGUUGUAGAAUAUAUCUAAAUAUUUCCGCAAAAGUCCUUUUACAAUGACUAACAGUACGAAUGAAUCACAGGAAUUGCUGCGACUGUUUAAAUGUGCAGUAGAUACAGGGACUGAAGUUUUAUCAGCCUUUGCUGACUACAAACUUUUACCAACGUACGGUGGAUCUUUUGAAUUGUUUCUUGACGACAAGAAGCAUAAAAUAUUUCACAUGUGGCAAUCUAAGAAGUUGUUAUGCUGUGCUUGUCCGCCGGCAGGUUGUAGCCUAAAGCGAACGGGUCUUAUGGAUAACUGGAUAUUUAAGAAAAUGUAUGAUGAGUCUGGUACUGAAGAUAGGGGACAUAUUGUCCGAAAUAGCGGAAGGCUUGUACAAGUGUGUCUACACAAAUAUAUCACACGAAAUAUCGCGAUUCAUGAAUUAGAUAUCAGCGCAAUAUCGUUUCUUCUUAGGAAUUUGACGUCGUUGUCUCAAAACGAGACCAGAGCAUUGGAUACAGUUACCACUUACAGAAGUCAGAUUUGUCAUGCACAUUCAAUGAACUGUUACACGAUGGCCGAGUUGAAUACAGCAUGGAAUGAAUUAGAGAACGCUUUUGCAGAUUUAGCGGACCGUCAUUACAAAAGGCUUAUUCGAAUGCAAAUUAAAGAGUUAAGAAAAGUUAAUUUGGAGAAAGAAGAAAUAACCGAAUUGAUGAAAAGAGUACAGGAAGUAGAAUUAGUAUUACAAAAAAUUAAUUCCUCCUGUACUGACAAUAUCAGGUAUUUUGGAGCCAUGGAAAGCAGGCUUAAAAUGUUGUCAAUUAACAACACAGAAGAUAUCAAAGAAAACACUUCUAUACAAGUAGAAACAACGAAACAUGCACUGUCAGAAAAGUUACAAAAUACAGAGAAGAACUUAGAAAAUUAUAUUAAACACGAGGUAAAAGAAGUGAAAGAAUCUCAAGCAAACAGUCUACAAAUGGUUGAAAACCAACUAGAUACAACUACAUCAGAUAUCAAGGAAUAUAAGGAAAGUCAAAAGGAAUUCAAGGAAAAGCAAGUGGAAAUGAUCAGAGCAAUACAGAACUUAAUGCUGUCAGUGAAGUAUGAAAGGCCUGAUCACUUACUUGUACCUGUGGAACCAUGACUAGAUUCAUUGGAAUGUCCUGUCAUGUGGCAAAUAGCAACUCCUGGGGACUGGAACCUUGAAGUUGUAGAAGCAACUCUUCGAAAUCCAUCAAACAAAGAUGAAAUAUUUAAGAAAAUAUUUGUGAGGAAAGGGUCUUUGAUUAUGUUAACAACGAUAGCAUCAAGUAUACUUCGUGAUCCUGAAGCAUUUGAAUCUGCGGUUAUAUCAUUUCUUACGAAAAUGAUAGAAGAUUGUAAUAUCAAUACAGAAAUACCAUGCCAAGUUGACGUCACGCUUCACAUUUUGAAUGCCAAUGAAGUGAACGUAUCCUGCAAACUACCCAACAUACAUAUAGAAGAUAAAGUUGUUCAAACAGAAGAUACAGAUUACGAACACCAAACUAGAAUUGAGAAACACUGGAAUGAAUGCGAAAUAUUUGAUGUAGCAUUUUUAAAUAGUGACAAUCAAAGAGAAAUUGAAUGGAUACAGAAUAUUUCGACAGUGUUAAAAGCGAAGUAUGAUAUAACUUGUGCUAUCCCUACGCAAAAUUAUCUGUAUGGUUUUCCAUUAAAACAUAGACUGUUUCAGUACCUUAAUAAAUGUCAAGCAGUUAUAUUAACAGUAACGGAGGCAAAUUAUGCUCAGUAUGAAAGUUAUAUGGACGAUAAAAUGUCGCUCAUAAUUGUCGAAUUAGAUUACAUAAGUGAGAUACGUAGGAAGCUUUGGAAAUUCCCAUACAUCAACUGUACAACCUGUGAGCAUCUUUGGUUUCCACGACUUAUAGAUACCUUAAAGACUAAACUACCAGAACAAUGAUUAUUUAUUCAAGAUCAUUUGAGAAAAAAGAUACAAAACGUUAAAGACGAACAAGACGAACAUUGUGAUAAGUGCAAGUCGGCAUUGAUGACUGCAGUCUAUCAUAAAGUUGAACUGAGAAAUUAUACAGGCUUCAGAAAGCAGCUAUUUGUUAUAUUUUGUGGAUCACUCAUCGAUGAUGCAUGGAUACUGAAUUUUCUAAAUCAAAAAACAGAAUUCAUGAAGCCAUAUACAAUUUAUCACUGGUAUAAAACACUAAAAAGUCAAUUUACAGAGGAAACUUCUUCCAAAGUAUUUGUUUGCGUUUCACCAAAUAUACAUAAAUGUCGAUUAAUAGGAGAAUAUGUUAACUAUCUUGUUAACGACAACACAAUAACAGUACAUUUGAUAAAGAUUGCAACAGCGGAGAUCCCAAAGUUCCUUGGUCAUCUACCAAAUUGUAUAGACGCUACAACCAUGGAUCAGAAAGAGCUUGCCCAUAAACUAUUUCCUCCUCCAGCAGCUAAAAUUUUAGAUCACAUGGAUCAGCAGUACUCCCAAGAGCCAGAACUAUUAGAUUCCAAGUGCAUUAUACAGUGAUUGUAUUCCCUCCAAAGAGAAAAUGCUGUACCGAAACCAAAUGGCGAAAACUAGCGACACAAGAGGAUUCAAGACCAAUCAAAACGAAAUUAUUCCAAAUAUAGCUAGUCAGUUUUUGCCUUCCUGUCAGUUGACAGUUUGUUCAGCUCAGACUGUUCUUUUAAUUAUAAAAAAAAAAAAUUCUUUUUAGAAAUGCUUAGAUUUAUAACUCUCUACACAGAUAUCCAUGCACAAAGUAUUCCUUCAUAUACCUGAUUUAUUUAAUGUUUGCUUAUAGAAAUAUAUAUAUGAAAUUUACGUUAUUAAAGUAAAAUAUAAAAUAAAAACAAAUGAAGGAGAAAAUUAUAAAAAGUUGUUCUUUAAAAAAGUAUUUUUUUAAAAGAAAGUAAUUAUUAAAUUAUAUAAUUAUAGUAAAUUUUAAAGAAUUAUGAAACUGAGCCAUGUUAAAUUAAAGAAAAUAACUUUGAAGCCUAAAAAUACAUGUUCGUAUUUUGAUAUCAAUAAUUUAAAUAGGUUGGUUGUAUUUCGUUCAGUUCAGUCAAUUAUGCAGUAGACUGCUCUGUUCACUAUAAGGUCAUGAUCACUAGGGAGAACGGACUCAACAACUGCAUUAUCAGUACAUGUGUAUAUUAUAUCAUUUACUUUUAUUUUUCUUAUGAUGUAUCAUGUACAGUGUUGUCAUUAUUCUUUUUAUUUGCAUGUAUGCCAUUAAUUGUAACGUGGAUGGAGAGUUGUCUCAUUGGCACUCAUACCACAUCUUCCUAUAUCUACAUAAACAUAUUUGUAAUGUUAUUCGAUUAAUGAGUGUGUUUUGGUACCUCAGGAAGGAUAGUUUUACACAAAUUCAGAGCAACUUUGAGUCUUCCUUACUAACACUUAUGUAAUGACAAUAAAAAGUGCCAAUAUUU